GACGUAGGGCGCGAGCGUUGUCCGGAUUUAUUGGGCGUAAAGAGCGUGUAGGCGGCCAGGUAGGUCUGCUGUGAAAACUCGAGGCUCAACCUCGAGAUGUCGGCGGAAACCAUCUGGCUAGAGUCCGGAAGAGGAAAGUGGAAUUCCUGGUGUAGCGGUGAAAUGCGCAGAUAUCAGGAAGAACACCCGUGGCGAAGGCGGCUUUCUGGGGACGGUACUGGACG
rnacentral:rRNA from 1 species